rnacentral:rRNA from 1 species
AACGAACGCUGGCGGCAGGCUUAACACAUGCAAGUCGAACGCCCCGCAAGGGGAGUGGCAGACGGGUGAGUAACGCGUGGGAAUCUACCCAUCCCUACGGAACAACUCCGGGAAACUGGAGCUAAUACCGUAUACGCCCUACGGGGGAAAGAUUUAUCGGGGAUGGAUGAGCCCGCGUUGGAUUAGCUAGUUGGUGGGGUAAAGGCCUACCAAGGCGACGAUCCAUAGCUGGUCUGAGAGGAUGAUCAGCCACAUUGGGACUGAGACACGGCCCAAACUCCUACGGGAGGCAGCAGUGGGGAAUAUUGGACAAUGGGCGCAAGCCUGAUCCAGCCAUGCCGCGUGAGUGAUGAAGGUCUUAGGAUUGUAAAGCUCUUUCACCGGAGAAGAUAAUGACGGUAUCCGGAGAAGAAGCCCCGGCUAACUUCGUGCCAGCCGCCGCCGUAA